rnacentral:rRNA from 1 species
GGAUUAGGCAUGCAAGUCGAACGGAAGGGGGCAACUCCAUAUAGUGGCGCAAGGGUUAGUAAUACAUGGGUAAUCUGUCUUUGACAUGGGGAUAACGGCUGGAAACGGCCGCUAAUACCGAAUGAGAUGAUUCAGGGAAUCCUAGAAUCACCAAAGCGGGGGAUCGAAAGACCUCGCGGUGAAAGAAGAGCCCGUGGGAUAUCAGCUAGUUGGUGAGGUAAGAGCUCACCAAGGCUAAGACGUCUAGGCGGAUUGAGAGAUUGACCGCCAACACUGGGACUGAGACACUGCCCAGACUCCUACGGGAGGCUGCAGUCGAGAAUCUUUCGCAAUGGGCGCAAAGCCUGACGAAGCGACGCCGUGUGAGCGAAGAAGGCCUUCGGGUUGUAAAGCUCUUUCGCUAGGGAACAAGGAAGGUGGAGUAACACACUACCGACUUGAUGGUACUUGGUAAAGAAGCACCGGCUAACUCCGUGCCAGCAGCUGCGGUAAUACGGAGGGUGCAAGCAUUGAUCGGAAUUACUGGGCGUAAAGGGCGCGUAGGCGGCGAGAGAAGUCAGAUGUGAAAUUCUGGGGCUCAACCCCAGAGCUGCAUUUGAAACUCUCUUGCUAGAGUACAGUUAGGGAAAACGGAAUUCCACAUGUAGCGGUGAAAUGCGUAGAUAUGUGGAGGAACACCGGUGGUGAAGACGGUUUUCUGGGCUGGAACUGAUGCUGAGGCGCGGGAGCAAGGGGAGCAAACAGGAUUAGAUACCCUGGUAGUCCUUGCCUUAAACGAUGCAUACUAGGUGUAGGAGGGGCUCAACCCUUUUCUGUACCGUCGCUGACGCAAUAAGUAUGCCGCCUGGGGAGUACGCUGGCAAGGGUGAAACUCAAAAGAAUUGACGGGGGCCCGCACAGCAGUGGAGCAUGUGGUUUAAUUCGAGGCAACGCGAAGAACCUUACCUGGGCUCGAAAUGAAGCAGCGCGAUAUCAGACAUGAUAUCUCUCGAAAGAGUCUCUGCAUAGGUGCUGCAUAACUGUCGUCAGCUCGUGCCGUGAGGUGUUUGGUUAAGUCCAGCAACGAGCGCAACCCUUAUCGUUAAUUGCCAGCACGUAAUGACGACAAGUCUAACGAGACUGCGUGGGCUUAACCAGGAGGAAGUGAGCAUAACUUCAAUUCCGCAUACCUUUGGUCCAGGCUACACACGUCCUACAAUGCUCGGUACAGAAGGAGCGAAACCGUAGUGUAGCAAAUCCAUCAAACCUAUCUCAUUCAAUUCUAGCUCAACUCGCCUACAUAAGUUAGAAUUCCAUAGUAAUGGCGUAUCACAACA